rnacentral:rRNA from 1 species
UACGUAGGUGGCAAGCGUUGUCCGGAAUUAUUGGGCGUAAAGCGCGCGCAGGCGGUCCCUUAAGUCUGAUGUGAAAGCCCACGGCUCAACCGUGGAGGGUCAUUGGAAACUGGGGGACUUGAGUGCAGGAGAGAAGAGCGGAAUUCCACGUGUAGCGGUGAAAUGCGUAGAGAUGUGGAGGAACACCAGUGGCGAAGGCGGCUCUUUGGUCUGUAACUGACGCUGAGGCGCGAAAGCGUGGGGAGCAAACAGG